rnacentral:rRNA from 1 species
GGAGGGUGCGAGCGUUGUCCGGAAUCACUGGGCGUAAAGGGCGCGUAGGCGGCCUGAUAAGUAGGGGGUGAAAUCCUGUGGCUUAACCGCAGGGCUGCCUUCUAGACUGUCAGGCUAGAGCACAGUAGAGGCAGGUGGAAUUCCCGGUGUAGCGGUGGAAUGCGUAGAGAUCGGGAAGAACAUCAGUGGCGAAGGCGGCCUGCUGGGCUGUUGCUGACGCUGAGGCGCGACAGCGUGGGGAGCAAACAGGAUUAGAUACCCUGGUAGUCCACGCCGUAAACGAUGGACACUAGGCGUCGGGGGGAGCGACCCUCCCGGUGCCGUCGCUAACGCAGUAAGUGUCCCGCCUGGGGAGUACGGCCGCAAGGCUG